UACGUAGGGGCAAGCGUUGUCCGGAAUCAUUGGGCGUAAAGAGCGUGUAGGCGGCCGAUAAGUCCGCUGUGAAAGUCCAGGCUCAACCUGGAUGCCGGUGGAUACUGUCGGGCUCGAGUCCGGAAGAGGAGUGUGGAAUUCCGUGGUGUAGCGGUGAAAUGCGCAGAGUAUCAGGAGGAACACCAAUGGCGAAGGCAGCACUCUGGGACGUGACUGACGCUGAGACGCGAAAGCGUGGGGGAGCAAACAGG
rnacentral:rRNA from 1 species